rnacentral:rRNA from 1 species
GAUGAACGCUGGCGGCGUGCUUAACACAUGCAAGUCGAACGAUUAAAGCACCUUCGGGUGUGUAUAAAGUGGCGAACGGGUGAGUAACACGUGACCAACCUACCUCUUACUUUGGGAUAACUUAGAGAAAUUUAAGCUAAUACCGAAUACUCCGAUUCCUUCGCAUGUUGGAUUCGGGAAAGUUCCGGCGGUAAGAGAUGGGGUCGCGGUCUAUUAGCUAGUUGGUGAGGUAACGGCUCACCAAGGCGACGAUAGAUAGCCGGGUUGAGAGACCGACCGGCCACAUUGGGACUGAGACACGGCCCAAACUCCUACGGGAGGCAGCAGUGGGGAAUUUUGCGCAAUGGGCGAAAGCCUGACGCAGCAACGCCGCGUGCGGGAUUGAAGGCCUUCGGGUCGUAAACCGCUUUCAGCAGGGAAGAUAAUGACGGUACCUGCAGAAGAAGCUCCGGCUAAAUACGUGCCAGCAGCCGCGAGUAACAC